AUGGUGUUGGAAUUGCACUGCUGUUGAUGUGUUCAAGUCAGAAUAAGGUUAUAAAAGAGGGUCAGAUUCAGUGCGACUGUGUGGGGCCACUAGACUAUGCUUCUGUCUGCCGUCAAAACAGAUGUGUGGCUUGACAUGAUGCAUGUGUUAAUCGCGCUAAAAAUUUUAACGGAAUUAAUAAAAUAAAUUAGUUACCACUAUUAACGCCCUUAUUUUUGACAGCCCUAAUUUUUAUAAGUGUUCAACUCAGACAUGAUGCCUGUAUUUAAUGACAAAUGACCACAAAAUAGCAUAAAGCAGACAAGCGAUGUAAAUGUUGGCAGUCACAUAAAACACAAAUAGCUCACCUCUCCUUUCUUUUUGUCAAAAAUAACUUUAAUAGUGCUGGAAGUUGGAUACACCGGCCCUAGCAUAAACAUGGACACUGAAUUUCUAUAAGGAAAAUAUUUUAAUUUUAUUCUGUUAAUUGUGUUAUUUUUAACAAAAAAGUAAAUUCAUGAAGAAUUAAUUUCCUAUGUAUUGGCAUCAAAUUUAAUUCAGGUUUGUGUCAAAUACAAAAUUUGUUUCACACAAUUCAAGCCCAAAAAAAAAAACGAGUAGGGUUGGUCGGCCCUAUCGACAAGGUGCCCCUUAUUUAUGUUUAGAGAAGUUGGCAAUCCUACUAGUAAAUUUGCUGAUUUUCUUUGACUAUUAUUGAAUAUUUUCUGUUGCUGACAAACUUCUGCUCCACACUUCAGCGCAGUAGUUGUCAGUAAUGCGCAAAUGAGCUAGUUUGCUAACCCACAUUAACUCCCAAAGACGAAGAAGAGGAGGAAGAAGAAGAAGAGGGCGGGCCAAUUUGAGUGGAAAACGGGCAUUAUGUGUUGGAGUUGUAAAAUGUAAAUGAUGCCACCAAUGAGGCCUCCCAGAAGCCACGGACAGAAAGAAGGUGGUCAGAGAAGACGGUGAAAAUGAGGGGAGAUGUGAAUAUUUACUUUGCAUGUCGAUUUCGGCGUGUGCCCCUAAAUGUUCUGCUUGCGCUCCUGAAAUUAAGUUAGGGGCCACUGUACUCCUAGUUAAAAAAAAAGUUAGUCUGGAGCCCUGCAAGAUGGAGGAUUAUAUACUCAAACUCCCCGGGAGGUGAUCAGACUUUUACAACACAGUAUCAGAACCUUUCUUGGAGAAGGAAAGGCUGCAUGUACUUCAUAUACAAAAAAAGGUGUAAGACCACAAGUUUUUCGGUUUAAACAUAUAGGUCUAAGUAUCAGAAAACAUUUUUAAUAUAUUUUUGUAACAAAAUUGAAUUAUUAUUCUCUUUUUUUAUGGUUAUCCACUUAAUGAGGACCUGUAUUAACAAAACAAAACAAAAAAACUCCAAAGGAGUCAGUGCCUCACCAGCCAUGAACUUCACCCUACUCACUCACCUUGCUGUCUCUUUCCAGUUCUUUCUUUAACCACUCAAAGUCACUGUAUCGUCUGGUCACACAGGACUCCUUCUGCUUGAAAAUAGGAAGGUUCGUCUGAAUAGAGAUAAGGAACAGCCGACACAGCAGGAUCAGGAAUGGCUUGGGUACCACAUGAAUGAAGCGGAUUCUAAACCUACGAGGGACCAUUUAUCAAUUUAUCACAUCAACAACACUUCAUUGACAUUCACUUUAUACAACACAUUUCCUUCUGUUCUACAGAACUUUGGAAGACCCCUUAAGCUUGUCUUGUGAUGAAGGAUUGUGUGCAAUUGUUGUUUAAUCGCGUCUUGAAACCACUGACACAAAAUAGAGUGCACUACCUGGCUGCAACCAGUAGAGGCGCUGUUGAUAAAGUCUCAACCAGAACCGUGCUAAACACAGAAUCUGCUAUGGCAGUGGUUCUCAAUUAUUUUCUGUCAUGCCCCCACCGGGGGAAAGAAAUGUUUUCGUGCCCCCCUCCUCCCCGAUUUGAAAUGCUAUUGAGAAACUCAUAGUAUCUAUUUAUUUAUCUGUACUGUACAGACUGAACUCGAAACUGAAACCAGCAAAAUGCAAUAAAAUGGAGAGCAGUGAAGCAUACAAGCGUAUUCAAGAUUCAAAUUGCACGCUGAGUACGACAAAUUCAUUCCUCCCUGCCUCUCACGCCCCUCCUGACAGUUCACAGCGCUCCCUCCCCCAGGGGGGGCCCCCGCCCCACUAUUUGAGAAGCACUGGGCUAUGGGUAGUGGAAUUACCAUGCGGGUAUCCACUCCUCCGGGCAGCAGAGUGGCAUUACCUCGAUUGUGUUCAUCACAUACACAUGAAUGCACAGGCGACAAAUAAAGACAAAUAUAACGCAGAGCAUAUUGUGAGGUCAGAUUUUUUUUAGAAGGAAUUUUUGUGAUGCAAAUGUAUAUUGUUUUGAGAAGACAAACUUUGCGUAAAUGUCCCCAGCAACUAUGCCGAACCAUGUUCUUCAUCACCAAAAUCCAACGAGAACUGGACUUAGGAGACCAAGUGGGGGCCUUGCCAGUGCCUUUGUUGGAUCCCCACACCACAGACUCGCUCCAAUCGCUCCAGAAGUCAGACUUCCCACAAGUUUUUUCCAUUUUGCUCCUCACUUGAAGCUCAUACUGGGAACGGCUGGAGGGUAAGUUGAUGCAGUAACUUUGCUUCCCAGGAAUGACCAAGUAAGUCUGCAUAAAUUGAAAGAUAAUCUAGCAAUAAUACAGUAGAUAACAAAGCAAGACUCUGAGGAGCAUACUGUAUAUGUUAGGUUACUCACGUUCCACUUCUUGUAAUUGAUUCUGUAGCGAACCUCAUUUUCCACACAGUGUGGAGAAGUCUGAUUCCAGUAAAACCACAGAUUUGAGUCGGAUCCAUUCUGAACUGUCAGGUUGGUCGGUGGAUUUAACUUAACUGCAUAGGUAACACAUACAAUGAAAUAUUAUUGAGUCAAAUGUUGAGUUAAAGUGCAUUUUUAUUUGGUGAAUGGACAUCUUUUAACUGGUGGCUGUAAAAGACUGUAAAACGUUGACAAAAAGUUCACAAAAGGGAUUACACCCCUCCCAUUUCAGCAGGCAUUUUAUUAUAAGUUAUAUUUUUAUAUUACUUUUUUACAUUAUUUUAUAUUUAUAUUUUAUUGUAUUUUUUUAUAAGGGAUGAAAUUAAAUAAAGUAUAGUAGUAGCUUGUAGCUUCUAACCAAAGCUACAAAACGCAACAAUGAGCGAUACCCCCAGAGGGAAGAAGACACUGUGGUGCUGAACUGGUGCCAUAUUUUUUUUGUUCCAGUCUGGCUCCAAAAGCUUGAUGGGCUGAGUGCUGAACCGUGGGGGGGGCGGGUGUUGCCUCGAGUAAAUACCCGCCUGUUACCAACUUCAUUGACUCCAUCCAUCCAUUUUCUAUGCCGCUUAUCCUCACUAGGGUCGUAGGUAUGCUGGAGCCUAUCCCAGCUGACUUCAGGCGAGAGGCAGGGUACACCCUGGACUGGUCGCCAGCCAAUCGCAGGGCACGUAUAGACAAACAACCAUUCACACUCACAUUCAUACCUAUGGACAAUUUAGGUAGCAGAAAGUGUGUGAAAGAGUGUCUUUCUAGCCCUGGAAUAGGAGGGAGGAGUUGAGGCGGAGGCCAAGAAGGGCCGACCACUGCCUGUUCAGGGUCGACACGCCCUGUGGAAGUUAGCCCCAAUCUGGUGACAUCUUCUCCUGGUCAACAGCUACAGUCAUGUAGAUGUGACUGAGUUAGUUAGCAUCAAGUAGAUGUAUUUAUAGUCGGUAGAUUUACUAUUAACUUAAAAUUAGUCAACACAGUUUCUGCUUCAGAAUGUCACCAUACAUGUUAGAAUUCAUGUUUCCCCUCAAUGAACCACAGCUCCCCCCGUGCCAGCAGCACUCGUGCAGCAGCCCCGGAGCAUGCUGUUGCCACCACCAUGCUUUACUGUAGACAAGACACAAUUAACAUGCUACUCACUUGUGUUGGCAGCUGUUUAGACAAUAAUAUAAAGUAUAUCUUUAUUACUAUACAAGCUGUGCACUAUUUCUUUGACUAUUUCUAUAAUAUUGCCCCUUAAAAGAUGUACAGUAAUACAAAUGCCAGCUGGAAUGUGAGGGGUGUAUUCCCUUUUGUGAGAUACUUUUUUGUCCCCUUCAUUGGAAUUAGUUUAAUUAGUAAUUAAUUUGCUGCAACAUUAUACAAUAGCCAAGCCUUACCUUUGUUUAUAAGAUUGUGCUCCUUCACAGAAGUACUGUUGCCAUGACCCAGUUGUGUGUAAAAUGUCAAGAACCUGUUUUCGUAUGGCUGAAUGCAGCCAUUGUUUAUGUUGUUCUCUCUCUGUGUCAGGUGGUGCUCACACACUCUGACAUUUUCACCAUAGAACCUGUAUUUUUUUUUUAAAACCCAGAAAACAAGUAGUCAUUUCUACAGUACAGGUUUCUAUUUUGAUCUUUUCACCUACCAGCUACUGAAGGUGUAAUUGACCGUCGCAUUCCAGGAACAGCGAACAGUCUCCAGAUGCAACACAAUGCAGUCGACAUCUGGGCAACCAGAACCAGAAAUGGAAUUUAUUGUGACUUCGGAAUGGGUCUGCCUGCUCAGCACAAUAUGAGCACAAUACAAGCAGAUGCUAAUACAAAUACACUUUUGAUAUACAGCCAUCCCUCGUUUAUUGCGGUGAAUUGGUUCCCGGCCUGACUGCGAAACGUGAAUUUUGCUGUCAUUGAUAAAUGGAAUUUUUUGAUACAGCAUAGAAAACCUCUUUAUGACCUUCUCAAAACUUUAUAAGACAAAAUAACUCAUCAUGAGCAUUGGGAAAGUUCUUUGUUGUUGUUGUAUCUCAAAUGUAAUGUGGCUCGAUCGCAUGGCAUUGUAAAAAAAGAUUGCCAUCAGCUUAUCAUCCAUCCUCACUAUGUUGUCUGACACCUGAUUGAUAUAUUUAUGCCAGUCUGACAUGCAUCUGCCAUACACAGACGUACACUCCCGACAGUACUGCUAGCUUAGUUUACAUUAUAUUGCGCAAUGCUUGUGCAGAGGACAUUGGCAUCUCUGCAGUGACACAAGAGAAGGAUGCCACUUUAAACAUAGCAAUACUGUAUACCAAGCUAACGAGUUGGCCUCCAAUUUAUUUAUCUUAAAUGGAAGAAUGGGUUUGUAACUGAGUGAGGAGGAAGAAGGGAAAUAAGCAGGCAAAAACCUACCACUUACACACAGAAUAAUAGACCCUAGUCAACCAGGAAAUGGUGAUAAUUUAUUAAUUUAUUAAUUUUUGAAGAAACGCGAUAGAGUGAGGGCGCAAUAUUUGAACCGCAAUGUAGCGAUGGACAACUGCACUACACAGCACUUGUUCAUUCGAGUAGUACCUAUAAAACGCCACGAGCUGAAACCAUCACACCUCCCCUCUCCAUGACGUGUCUGUCUUCAAAGCAUAGUAGUUUAACUUACUUUAGUUUUAUUAUACCAUGGUUAACUUCUCAUAAUUCCCCAUAAAGUACAAAACGUUAUAAAGCAGAUUGACCUUUAAGGAAAUUGUAGAACUUCUCAGACAAAUCCAAACAAAUUUAAGCCACUCUUAAGUGAAACCUCCGAAAGUUCUUACCUGGAGGUUCUUGGGCAACAAUAGGUCCUGCCAGACAGAGAAGUAAAAGAAAUUUGUUCAGCAUCGCGGAGCAGAAGAACAUGGACGCUUUUAGUUUCAAUGCAGGUUGACGUCUACAUCUAAAUGUG